rnacentral:rRNA from 1 species
GACAGAGGAUGCAAGCGUUAUCCGGAAUGAUUGGGCGUAAAGCGUCUGUAGGUGGCUUUUCAAGUCCGCCGUCAAAUCCCAGGGCUCAACCCUGGACAGGCGGUGGAAACUACCAAGCUGGAGUACGGUAGGGGCAGAGGGAAUUUCCGGUGGAGCGGUGAAAUGCGGCAGAUAUCAGGAGGAACACCGGUGGCGAAGGCGGGUCUCUGGGCCGAUACUGACGCUGAGGAGCGAAAGCGUGGGGAGCGAACAGG